AUACGGAGGGUGCGAGCGUUAAUCGGAAUUACUGGGCGUAAAGCGCGCGUAGGCGGAUUGACAAGUUGGAGGUGAAAUCCCGGGGCUCAACCCCGGAACUGCCUUCAAAACUGUCAGUCUUGAGUUCGGAAGAGGUGAGUGGAAUUCCUAGUGUAGAGGUGAAAUUCGUAGAUAUUAGGAAGAACACCAGUGGCGAAGGCGGCCAUCUGGCUCGGUACUGACGCUGAGGCGCGAAAGCGUGGGGAGCAAACAGGAUUAGAAACCCCAGUAGUCC
rnacentral:rRNA from 1 species